rfam:Citrus clementina cultivar Clemenules unplaced genomic scaffold scaffold_8, whole genome shotgun sequence.
AUAUUGUGAUGAAGACAUUUCCUAAGUAACUUUUUGAAUCUUUGUCACACAUCAUACAAGCUUUCAUCUUCAAGUCAAUGGAAUAAUGUGAUCUCAUUUAUCAAUUU